rnacentral:rRNA from 1 species
AACCUCCGCAAUGUGAGAAAUCGCGACGGGGGGAUCCCAAGUGCCAUUCUUAACGGGAUGGCUUUUCAUUAGUGUAAAGAGCUUUUGGAAUAAGGGCUGGGCAAGACCGGUGCCAGCCGCCGCGGUAACACCGGCAGCUCUAGUGGUAGCAGUUUUUAUUGGGCCUAAAGCGUCCGUAGCCGGUUUAAUAAGUCUCUGGUGAAAUCCUGUAGCUUAACUGUGGGAAUUGCUGGAGAUACUAUUAGACUUGAGACCGGGAGAGGUUAGAGGUACUCCCAGGGUAGAGGUGAAAUUCUGUAAUCCUGGGAGGACCGCCUGUUGCGAAGGCGUCUAACUGGAACGGUUCUGACGGUGAGGGACGAAAGUUAGGGGCGCGAACCGGAUUAGAUACCCGGGUAGUCCUAACUGUAAACGAUGCGGACUUGGUGUUGGGGUGGCUUUGAGCUGCUCCAGUGCCGAAGGGAAGCUGUUAAGUCCGCCGCCUGGGAAGUACGGUCGCAAGACUGAAACUUAAAGGAAAU